AUGGCUUCCACCAUCAGGGUCGUGCAGGUAGCGAAACCACAUGCUCGAUUAGUAAAGUUCCCAACAGAAGAGACAGCCCUAACCUCAGUGUCUCCGAAGCUCUGGGAUCUGCUGCUCCCCUCCCACUCCUCUGUCACUUCACAGCAUCCCAAAGGAAAUAUGUCCCCAGAUUUACUGAUGCAUCAGGGGCCACCAGCCACUGCAGAAAUAAUACAAUCAUUACAUAGAAGGAAACCUAUGUCUCAAGAGGAAAUGGAAUUUAUUCAGUGAGGGGGUCCAGAG
rnacentral:lncRNA from 1 species